rnacentral:rRNA from 1 species
GAGGAAUUUUCCGCAAUGGUCGCAAGACUGACGGAGCAACGCCGCGUGCAGGAGGACGCUUUUCGGAGUGUAAACUGCUUUUCUGUGGGACGAGGAUGGACGGUACCACAGGAAGAAGCCCCGGCUAACUCCGUGCCAGCAGCCGCGGUAAUACGGAGGGUGCGAGCGUUGUCCGGAAUCAUUGGGCGUAAAGGGCGCGUAGGUGGCCCGGUCAGUCUUUGGUGAAAGCGCGGGGCUCAACCCUGCGUCGGCCAGGGAUACUGCCGCGGCUGGAGCACUGUAGAGGCAGGCGGAAUUCCGGGUGUAGCGGUGGAAUGCGUAGAGAUCCGGAAGAACACCGGUGGCGAAGGCGGCCUGCUGGGCAGUUGCUGACACUGAGGCGCGACAGCGUGGGGAGCAAAC